rnacentral:rRNA from 1 species
UACGUAGGUGGCAAGCGUUGUCCGGAAUUAUUGGGCGUAAAGCGCGCGCAGGCGGUCUUUUAAGUCUGAUGUGAAAUCUUGCGGCUCAACCGUAAGCGGUCAUUGGAAACUGAAAGACUUGAGUGCAGAAGAGGAGAGUGGAAUUCCACGUGUAGCGGUGAAAUGCGUAGAUAUGUGGAGGAACACCAGUGGCGAAGGCGGCUCUCUGGACUGUAACUGACGCUGAGGCGCGAAAGCGUGGGGAGCAAACAGG